rnacentral:rRNA from 1 species
UACGUAGGGGGCAAGCGUUGUCCGGAUUUAUUGGGCGUAAAGAGCUCGUAGGCGGCUCACUAAGUCGGAUGUGAAAACUCCAGGCUCAACCUGGAGACGCCACCCGAUACUGCUGUGACUAGAGUCCGGUAGGGGAGCGUGGAAUUCCUGGUGUAGCGGUGAAAUGCGCAGAUAUCAGGAGGAACACCAGCGGCGAAGGCGGCGCUCUGGGCCGGAACUGACGCUGAGGAGCGAAAGCGUGGGUAGCAAACAGG